rnacentral:rRNA from 1 species
UACAGAGGUCUCAACCGUUGUUCGGAUUCAUUGGGCGUAAAGGGUGCGUAGGCGGUCUCGCAAGUCGGAUGUGAAAUCUCAGGGCUCAACCCUGAAACUGCAUUCGAUACUGCGUGGCUAGAGUGCUGGAGAGGAGACUGGAAUUUACGGUGUAGCAGUGAAAUGCGUAGAUAUCGUAAGGAAGACCAGUGGCGAAGGCGAGUCUCUGGACAGCAACUGACGCUGAGGAACGAAGGCCAGGGGAGCAAACGGG